rnacentral:rRNA from 1 species
AGAGUUUGAUCCUGGCUCAGGACGAACGCUGGCGGCGUGCUUAAUACAUGCAAGUCAACUGAACUUAAGAUAGCAAUAUUUUAAGGGAGGUGGCGCACGGGUGAGUAACACGUAGGUAAUCUGCCUUUAGGUCUGACACAACCCCGAGAAAUCGGGGCUAAUAUCAGAUGAUGCAGCGGCUCGACAUCGAGACAGUUGUUAAACCUUCGGGGCCUAAAGAUGAGCCUGCGUCUGAUUAGGUAGUUGGCGGAGUAAAAGCCCACCAAGCCUGCGAUCAGUAGCUGGUCUGAGAGGAUGAUCAGCCACACUGGAACUGAGACACGGUCCAGACUCCUACGGGAGGCAGCAGUAAGGAAUAUUGCUCAAUGGCCGAAAGGCUGAAGCAGCAACGCCGCGUGGAGGAUGAAAUACUUUUGUAUGUAAACUCCUGUAAGAAGGGAAAAAUAUUCCGAUUUAUCGGGAUUGAUUGUACCUUCAGAGUAAGCCCCGGCUAACUACGUGCCAGCAGCCGCGGUAAUAC